rnacentral:rRNA from 1 species
CCUACGGGAGGCUGCAGUGAGGAAUAUUGGUCAAUGGCCGGAAGGCUGAACCAGCCAUGCCGCGUGAAGGUCAGUGCCCUAUGGGCGUUAAACUUCUUUUGUGCGGGAGCAAUAAUGGUCACGUGUGGCCAGACGAGAGUACCGUACGAAUACGCAUCAGCUAACUCCGUGCCAGCAGCCGCGGUAAUACUGGGGAUGCAAGCGUUAUCCGGAUUUGUUGGGUUUAAAGGGUGCGUAGGCUGUGAGGUAAUGCAACGGUGAAAUGCCCCCGCUCAACGGGGUGAAGUGCCAUUGAUACUGGCUUGCUUGAAUGCGGAUGAGGUGGGAGGAAUGUGUGGUGUAGCGGUGAAAUGCAUAGAUAUCACACAGAACACCGAUUGCGAAGGCAUCUCACGAAUCCGCGAUUGACGCUGAUGCACGAAAGCGUGGGUAUCAAACAGGAUUAGAUACCCGGGUAGUC